rnacentral:lncRNA from 1 species
CUCCGUGGAUCUCCUUCGGGCGGCCUCAUCUGCGGUGGCCCCAAGGUGCCAGACGCGGCAGUCGUCCCUCCAGUGAAGACAUGUGACUGCCGUCCGUGGUCUGCGCGCUUCCAGGCAGGUUCGCAGACAAUGAAGUGACUGGUUCCUCCUUGAAAUCUGAACACAGUUCUAGUUGCCACAUUGCUUUGACUUAGAGGAAACCGAGCUUUGGGACGGCAGGUGAGCGGCUGCAUGAAAGGACUCAGGCAGAGCCAGCGACCAAACACACCAGCGCACGGCCCGCCAGGCCUUGUCCACACGGACCCAGUGACCAAACACGCCGGCGCACGGCCCGCCAGGCCUUGUCCACGCGGACCCAGCGACCAAACACACCGGCGCACGGCCCGCCAGGCCUUGUCCACACGGACCCAGCGACCAAACACACCAGCGCGCGGCCCGCCAGGCCUUGUCCACACCCCCUGUGUCGAUCUAACCGGUUGACCCUGGCUUCUCACAGACUAAGAAGCAACCUUUAACAGACUCUUGAGUCUUAUUCUUUGAUUUCUUGGGCAUUUGAUUGCAGCAAAGUGUUAAGAGACAUUCCCGCGUCCUUCGUAACAGCCUGCAGAGUUUUCCUUUCUACUCUUUGUUCAUAAAAAUCUUUGUAAGAGACUCGAGUCAACACCGAGUCUGGGUGUAAAUCCCUCUUUGCUGCCUCGCGGCUGCCGAGCUGAGGCGAGUGGGUUGUGAGAUAAAAACCCCAUCCUUCCGCGCGGCACAGAGCCGGCUGCGGGCACCGCCGCUUCCCUGUGCUCUUCGACUUGCUGCCAAGAGCAGCCCAACCUGGAGCCUCCAGGAACCGCGUAACCUGAGUGCCUUCAUCUGUAGCCACUUUCCAGUCAGCGGCCCAAUACACGUUUUUGCUGGCUACGCUGCGUUCCUCCUCUCGUUUCUGGGUGGUGGGAGCGCUGUUGCUUGGGGAGCAGGGGUGGAUGGGGCGGUCCUGACGAAGGUGGGUUUCUGGACCCCUUACUAGCCGCGGGAGCAGCCUCCCACGGAGCUCCCGCUGCUGAAUGGCCCCAGGGCCGCGCAGCUUCCUGCUGCAGCGCCA